rnacentral:rRNA from 1 species
CCUACGGGGUGCAGCAGUGAGGAAUAUUGGUCAAUGGACGAGAGUCUGAACCAGCCAAGUAGCGUGAAGGAUGACUGCCCUAUGGGUUGUAAACUUCUUUUAUAAAGGAAUAAAACGAGGCACGUGUGCCUUUUUGCAUGUACUUUAUGAAUAAGGAUCGGCUAACUCCGUGCCAGCAGCCGCGGUAAUACGGAGGAUCCGAGCGUUAUCCGGAUUUAUUGGGUUUAAAGGGAGCGUAGAUGGGUUGUUAAGUCAGUUGUGAAAGUUUGCGGCUGAACCAUAAAAUUGCAAUUGAUACUGGCAGUCUUGAGUACAGUUGAGGUAGGCGGAAUGCGUGGUGUAGCGGUGAAAUGCUUAGAUAUCACGAAGAACCCCGAUUGCGAAGGCAGCUUACUAAACUGUGACUGACAUUGAUGCUCGAAAGUGUGGGGAUCAAACAGGAUUAGAUACCCGUGUAGUC